rnacentral:rRNA from 1 species
GGUUAAGCGACUAAGCGUACACGGUGGAUGCCCUGGCAGUCAGAGGCGAUGAAGGACGUGCUAAUCUGCGAUAAGCGUCGGUAAGGUGAUAUGAACCGUUAUAACCGGCGAUUUCCGAAUGGGGAAACCCAGUGUGAUUCGUCACACUAUCAUUAACUGAAUCCAUAGGUUAAUGAGGCGAACCGGGGGAACUGAAACAUCUAAGUACCCCGAGGAAAAGAAAUCAACCGAGAUUCCCCCAGUAGCGGCGAGCGAACGGGGAGGAGCCCAGAGCCUGAAUCAGUGUGUGUGUUAGUGGAAGCGUCUGGAAAGGCGCGCGAUACAGGGUGACAGCCCCGUACACAAAAAUGCACAUGCUGUGAGCUCGAUGAGUAGGGCGGGACACGUGGUAUCCUGUCUGAAUAUGGGGGGACCAUCCUCCAAGGCUAAAUACUCCUGACUGACCGAUAGUGAACCAGUACCGUGAGGGAAAGGCGAAAAGAACCCCGGCGAGGGGAGUGAAAAAGAACCUGAAACCGUGUACGUACAAGCAGUGGGAGCACGCUUAGGCGUGUGACUGCGUACCUUUUGUAUAAUGGGUCAGCGACUUAUAUUCUGUAGCAAGGUUAACCGAAUAGGGGAGCCGAAGGGAAACCGAGUCUUAACUGGGCGUUAAGUUGCAGGGUAUAGACCCGAAACCCGGUGAUCUAGCCAUGGGCAGGUUGAAGGUUGGGUAACACUAACUGGAGGACCGAACCGACUAAUGUUGAAAAAUUAGCGGAUGACUUGUGGCUGGGGGUGAAAGGCCAAUCAAACCGGGAGAUAGCUGGUUCUCCCCGAAAGCUAUUUAGGUAGCGCCUCGUGAAUUCAUCUCCGGGGGUAGAGCACUGUUUCGGCAAGGGGGUCAUCCCGACUUACCAACCCGAUGCAAACUGCGAAUACCGGAGAAUGUUAUCACGGGAGACACACGGCGGGUGCUAACGUCCGUCGUGAAGAGGGAAACAACCCAGACCGCCAGCUAAGGUCCCAAAGUCAUGGUUAAGUGGGAAACGAUGUGGGAAGGCCCAGACAGCCAGGAUGUUGGCUUAGAAGCAGCCAUCAUUUAAAGAAAGCGUAAUAGCUCACUGGUCGAGUCGGCCUGCGCGGAAGAUGUAACGGGGCUAAACCAUGCACCGAAGCUGCGGCAGCGACGCUUAUGCGUUGUUGGGUAGGGGAGCGUUCUGUAAGCCUGCGAAGGUGUGCUGUGAGGCAUGCUGGAGGUAUCAGAAGUGCGAAUGCUGACAUAAGUAACGAUAAAGCGGGUGAAAAGCCCGCUCGCCGGAAGACCAAGGGUUCCUGUCCAACGUUAAUCGGGGCAGGGUGAGUCGACCCCUAAGGCGAGGCCGAAAGGCGUAGUCGAUGGGAAACAGGUUAAUAUUCCUGUACUUGGUGUUACUGCGAAGGGGGGACGGAGAAGGCUAUGUUGGCCGGGCGACGGUUGUCCCGGUUUAAGCGUGUAGGCUGGUUUUCCAGGCAAAUCCGGAAAACUAAGGCUGAGGCGUGAUGACGAGGCACUACGGUGCUGAAGCAACAAAUGCCCUGCUUCCAGGAAAAGCCUCUAAGCAUCAGGUAACAUCAAAUCGUACCCCAAACCGACACAGGUGGUCAGGUAGAGAAUACCAAGGCGCUUGAGAGAACUCGGGUGAAGGAACUAGGCAAAAUGGUGCCGUAACUUCGGGAGAAGGCACGCUGAUAUGUAGGUGAAGCGACUUGCUCGUGGAGCUGAAAUCAGUCGAAGAUACCAGCUGGCUGCAACUGUUUAUUAAAAACACAGCACUGUGCAAACACGAAAGUGGACGUAUACGGUGUGACGCCUGCCCGGUGCCGGAAGGUUAAUUGAUGGGGUCAGCGCAAGCGAAGCUCUUGAUCGAAGCCCCGGUAAACGGCGGCCGUAACUAUAACGGUCCUAAGGUAGCGAAAUUCCUUGUCGGGUAAGUUCCGACCUGCACGAAUGGCGUAAUGAUGGCCAGGCUGUCUCCACCCGAGACUCAGUGAAAUUGAACUCGCUGUGAAGAUGCAGUGUACCCGCGGCAAGACGGAAAGACCCCGUGAACCUUUACUAUAGCUUGACACUGAACAUUGAGCCUUGAUGUGUAGGAUAGGUGGGAGGCUUUGAAGUGUGGACGCCAGUCUGCAUGGAGCCGACCUUGAAAUACCACCCUUUAAUGUUUGAUGUUCUAACGUUGACCCGUAAUCCGGGUUGCGGACAGUGUCUGGUGGGUAGUUUGACUGGGGCGGUCUCCUCCUAAAGAGUAACGGAGGAGCACGAAGGUUGGCUAAUCCUGGUCGGACAUCAGGAGGUUAGUGCAAUGGCAUAAGCCAGCUUGACUGCGAGCGUGACGGCGCGAGCAGGUGCGAAAGCAGGUCAUAGUGAUCCGGUGGUUCUGAAUGGAAGGGCCAUCGCUCAACGGAUAAAAGGUACUCCGGGGAUAACAGGCUGAUACCGCCCAAGAGUUCAUAUCGACGGCGGUGUUUGGCACCUCGAUGUCGGCUCAUCACAUCCUGGGGCUGAAGUAGGUCCCAAGGGUAUGGCUGUUCGCCAUUUAAAGUGGUACGCGAGCUGGGUUUAGAACGUCGUGAGACAGUUCGGUCCCUAUCUGCCGUGGGCGCUGGAGAACUGAGGGGGGCUGCUCCUAGUACGAGAGGACCGGAGUGGACGCAUCACUGGUGUUCGGGUUGUCAUGCCAAUGGCACUGCCCGGUAGCUAAAUGCGGAAGAGAUAAGUGCUGAAAGCAUCUAAGCACGAAACUUGCCCCGAGAUGAGUUCUCCCUGACUCCUUGAGAGUCCUGAAGGAACGUUGAAGACGACGACGUUGAUAGGCCGGGUGUGUAAGCGCAGCGAUGCGUUGAGCUAACCGGUACUAAUGAACCGUGAGGCUUAACCUU